rnacentral:rRNA from 1 species
GACGAACGCUGGCGGCGUGCUAACACAUGCAAGUCGAACGAUGAACCCGGAGCUUGCUCCGGUGGAUUAGUGGCGAACGGGUGAGUAACACGUGAGUAACCUGCCCUUGACUCUGGGAUAACUGCGGGAAACUGUAGCUAAUACCGGAUACGACCCUCGGCGGCAUCGCCAGGGGGUGGAAAGAAUUUCGGUCAAGGAUGGACUCACGGCCUAUCAGCUAGUUGGGGAGGUCACGGCUCACCAAGGCGACGACGGGUAGCCGGCCUGAGAGGGUGGCCAGCGGCACUAGGACGGUGAGCCGGGCCAGACUCCUACGGGAGGCAGCAGGGUGGAGUAUUGCACAGUGGGGGCCAUCCUGAUGCAGCAACGCCGCGUGAGGGAUGACGGCCGUCGGGUUGUAAACCGUUUUUAGUAGGGAAGAAGCGAAGGUGACGGUACCUGCAGAAAAAGCACCGGCUAACUACGUUCUAGCCGCCGCAGUAA